rnacentral:lncRNA from 1 species
UGGAGGGUACAAUUCUAAACUGCGGACCAUGACGGCUUCAUUCCUUGGGCAAUACUGGCUGGGCACACUACUCGCGGGGCGAAUCUUCUCCCUGGACUGAGUGGUCUUCCAUUGGAAGGAGAAGGGCCAGCACCUCAUCCUUCAGAGUCCCACCCGUGGGAGGGGUCUCGGGAACCACUCCAUCCGACACCUCGGAGUUCCUUUCUGAAGGGGGUGGUGCCGGGGUGGCGUCCGGGCUCUUCCGCUUACUGGGUCCUGGGGCAAUGGGGAUCCCUUCGAGGAUCAGGGCCUCGUCAUCCUCGAUGGCCACCAUCCUCCUUCUGGCACGAAUGGUAAGGUGGGCAUCCUUCAG